UGGGAUUUAGCUCAUUGGCACAGAGCACCUGCCUUGCAAGCAGGCAGCCGUGAAAAGAAGUACCAA
rnacentral:tRNA from 1 species